CCUACGGGCGGCUGCAGUGGGGAAUAUUGCACAAUGGGCGCAAGCCUGAUGCAGCCAUGCCGCGUGUGUGAAGAAGGCCUUCGGGUUGUAAAGCACUUUCAGCGGGGAGGAAGGCGUUAAGGUUAAUAACUUUGUCGAUUGACGUUACCCGCAGAAGAAGCACCGGCUAACUCCGUGCCAGCAGCCGCGGUAAUACGGAGGGUGCAAGCGUUAAUCGGAAUUACUGGGCGUAAAGCGCACGCAGGCGGUCUGUCAAGUCGGAUGUGAAAUCCCCGGGCUCAACCUGGGAACUGCAUUCGAAACUGGCAGGCUAGAGUCUUGUAGAGGGGGGUAGAAUUCCAGGUGUAGCGGUGAAAUGCGUAGAGAUCUGGAGGAAUACCGGUGGCGAAGGCGGCCCCCUGGACAAAGACUGACGCUCAGGUGCGAAAGCGUGGGGAGCAAACAGGAUUAGAUACCCGGGUAGUC
rnacentral:rRNA from 1 species